AGUGAACGCUGGCGGUAGGCCUAACACAUGCAAGUCGAACGGCAGCACAGUAAGAGCUUGCUCUUACGGGUGGCGAGUGGCGGACGGGUGAGGAAUACAUCGGAAUCUACUUUUUCGUGGGGGAUAACGUAGGGAAACUUACGCUAAUACCGCAUACGACCUACGGGUGAAAGCAGGGGAUCUUCGGACCUUGCGCGAUUGAAUGAGCCGAUGUCGGAUUAGCUAGUUGGCGGGGUAAAGGACCACCAAGGCAACGAUCCGUAGCUGGUCUGAGAGGAUGAUCAGCCACACUGGAACUGAGACACGGUCCAGACUCCUACGGGAGGCAGCAGUGGGGAAUAUUGGACAAUGGGCGCAAGCCUGAUCCAGCCAUACCGCGUGGGUGAAGAAGGCCUUCGGGUUGUAAAGCCCUUUUGUUGGGAAAGAAAAGCAGCAGGUUAAUACCCCGCUGUUCUGACGGUACCCAAAGAAUAAGCACCGGCUAACUUCGUG
rnacentral:rRNA from 1 species